UAAGACAGAGGAAGAAUUUUACAUUUUAAUCGGUCGCCACCUUGAAGUUUCCAUAAAAUUGGAAACUGGGAGAUAGAGUCAGUUUCUCUACCUUACUGAGUAAUAGCUUAUGUACUGUUCAGAUGUUUACUCAAAGUUAGAAGAAUUUUUCAUUGGAAAGUACAUUUAAUGCUGUCUGCAUUGAAAAAUGAAGAAUUGGGGUAGCUUAUUUAAGAAACAUACAUACUUAGCUUGUUGAUGAUAAUGCAGUCUAUGGGAAAUACUUGUUUGUAUCUGUGAAUUUCAUUUUCUCUUUCUCCAAUUGAUUUAGAGUGUCAAGUCAAGGAUCUGAAGGAAAUAAGGAAGUACUGAAAGAGGCUGAGCACAAGCUUCCACUGUUUAUAAGAAGAAAUAAGAUGAAAAUACCUAUUGCAGAAUAUUUCAGCAAGCCAAAGUCUCUUCCCAGGCCUAAAACUCAAGAGAGCAUAUCAACAAAACCAACAUAAGCAAGGAGUAUACAGCAAGGAUACAGUCUCUCUCCCCAGAGAACAUUUUAUCCUGUAACACACCAAAGGUAGAAAUUCUAGACUGGGCUAAGUCUUUCACAAACGUGAAACGCCUUCUCCAAUUACUUCCUUCUCCAUCUACAUGAACCAUCUAAAGGAAAGGGCUUACAGAUUUAAUAAAUUCCAUGCAUCUGCUUCCACAAAGAUACACAUUUGAAAUCUUCUUCACCAAAACUGUCAGGUCAGAGGUACAAGACUGAACAACAGUUGGCAGUCAGAAUUUUGCAAAUUGCACCCGAAGAAUAAAGGAAGAUGCAUCCAUCGCCAGGCUCAGACGGCAUUUCUCAAUAAUUUUUGUGGAAAUCAAAAAUGAAGCGGAGACCUCUCACCUAAGAUGUAUACCUUAUUGAUUAAUAAACAGCCAUUUUUCUGGAAAAUGGUAUAUUAUAAACUUGAUCCCUAUGCUGAAUAAGGGCCCCAAGAGGAAUGUGCAUAAUUAGAGACCAGCCAACUCACAUCUCUCUGGAAAACUGGUGGUAUGAAAUAAUAAAUUUAACAAGCCACAAAAUAGCUGAACGUAUGCCUAUUCUAACUUAUUACAUUAUUUCUUAGAAAAAUAGGCAUGAACAUAAAACUUGGUAAAUAUAUUGUACUUUAAAACUUAAAAAACCUUUCAAAAUGUUUUAUACCAUGGACUGUUAAUAAAUUAAAUGCAGUCAUUAUGGGAUUAGUGAGUGAGACAGGGAAAGUCUGUCACAGUGAGAACUGGCUUGGAGAAAGGAAAAAAGUGUAGGAAUAACCCACUACUUCUCUGAGUAGAAUAGGGUUAAGGUUCCUUAGGGACUGGUACUAAAGCCAAUCUAUUAGUAAUCUUUGCAAAUGACUGAGAGUAGUUUAGUCCAAUAGAAAAAAAUGUGAGCCACAUAUAUAAUUUGAAAUCUUCUAAUAGCCACAUGAAAAAAAGUGAAAAGAAAUAGAUGAAAUUAAUUUUAAUAAAUUAAUUUGGUUUUUUUUUAAUUUUAAGGAGAUAUUUUACAUUCUCUCUCUUUUUUUUGUACUAAUGUCUAUUUGACAUUUAUAGCACAUCUCAACUCAGACCAGUCACAUUUCAAGAGUUCAGCAGCCACAUGUGGAAGUGGACACCAUAUGGUAUAGCACAGAUUUAGAAGAAAGAGAACGCAAGUACAUUUCCAAAUUUUAGAGUGACUUCACUCUUAUAAAUAAUGUAUAGCCAGUUUGCUAGGUAGAGACUGCAUACAGACCUUUAAAUUUUUUCCUUUUUAAAAAAAUAUGUUUUAAAGUUGGCAGUAAAAUAGCAAGUGAGAUUUCAUGAAAGCAAGUACAGACUAUAUCUCAAGGCUCUUAGCUUCUUCCACUGGUAAACUUAGGUACAGUGAUAUGCAGGGUUUGUAGCUGCCCUUACAUUUAUUAGCAUUGUGUAGAACUUAGGUAAAACAUGUAGACCUUUAAGCAUAAAAAUACCUUGAAUUAUGUGAGAGUUAAUCUAUUUUAGUUACCUUCCAGUUGACCCAUCCUUUGUCAUUUUCAUCCAUGUUCUUUUUCAACUGGCCUCCAUGGCUUGUCAAGUAAAACUGAUAAAGAGAUUGGCAGGUAUAGAAAGAGAGAGCAAAUGACUAUUAAAGUCAAUAUUUUAUUCCCUCAUACACUCAUCUGUUUAUCAAUGAAAGACAAAAUAUUUUCAUUCUGGAAAAAAAUGAAUUUAUGGCAUGCUU